rnacentral:rRNA from 1 species
CGAGGUCCAUCUUGUAGCAAUACAAGUGAAGACCUAGUGGCGAACGGGUGAGGAACACGUGAGAAAUUUGCCCCGAACUUUGGGAUAACAGUUGGAAACGACUGCUAAUACCGAAUGCCGUUACGAAGUGGCAUCACUUUGUAACGAAAGAAUUUCGGUUCGGGAGAAUCUCGCGGCCUAUCAGCUUGUUGGUGAGGUAACGGCUCACCAAGGCUACGACGGGUAGCUGGUCUGAGAGGAUGAUCAGCCACACUGGGACUGAGACACGGCCCAGACUCCUACGGGAGGCAGCAGUGGGGAAUCUUGUGCAAUGGACGAAAGUCUGACACAGCCACGCCGCGUGCGGGAAGAAGGCCUUCGGGUUGUAAACCGCUUUCAGCAGGAACGAAAAUGACGGUACCUGCAGAAGAAGGAGCGGCCAACUACGUGCCAGCAGCCGCGGUGACACGUAGGCUCCAAGCGUUGUCCGGAUUUAUUGGGCGUAAAGAGCUCGUAGGCGGUUCAGCAAGUCGGGUGUGAAAACUCUGGGCUCAACCCAGAGCCUGCACCCGAAACUGCUGUGACUAGAGUUCGGUAGGGGAGUGGGGAAUUCCUAGUGUAGCGGUGAAAUGCGCAGAUAUUAGGAGGAACACCGAUGGCGAAGGCACCACUCUGGGCCGAAACUGACGCUGAGGAGCGAAAGCGUGGGUAGCAAACAGGAUUAGAUACCCUGGUAGUCCACGCCGUAAACGAUGGGCACUAGGUGUGGGUCUCUAACCAACGAGAUCCGCGCCGUCGCUAACGCAUUAAG